UACGGGGGGGGCAAGCGUUGUCCGGAAUUAUUGGGCGUAAAGAGCUCGUAGGCGGUUUGUCGCGUCGAAUGUGAAAACCUGGGGCUCAACCCCGGGCCUGCAUUCGAUACGGGCAGACUAGAGUUCGGUAGGGGAGUCUGGAAUUCCUGGCGUAGCGGUGAAAUGCGCAGAUAUCAGGAGGAACACCGGUGGCGAAGGCGGGACUCUGGGCCGAUACUGACGCUGAGGAGCGAAAGCGUGGGGAGCGAACAGG
rnacentral:rRNA from 1 species